AGACCAUCUGCUGGAAGAACCACAUGGAGAGGCCCUGAGUCAACAUGGAGAGGAAGAAGGACUUGACUGAAUCCAGCCUUCCAGCUGUCCCUACCAAGGUGCCAGGCAUGAGAAUGAAGCUGUCUUGAACUCUGAAGACCAGCUUAGCCACCAGGUCUGUUCUGAAAAAUUGAGAAGAUGAUCUAUCUUCACUUCAAAAAGAAAUCUCUAAGGAGCAAGUGGACACAGCCUGCCUCCCAUAAGCUGUCUGGCUCACUCAUUUUAUUCCUGGAAAUCAGAAGUCAAUCAUUUCCUGAGAAAUGAGGAAAAAGAUGGAGGUCACAGAGACCAGUAAGAGCAAGGAGGGAGAGGAAAAAGCUGAACAUGAAACUCGAGGAAGAAACAGAAUAUGCAGAGGAAUAAAAAAAGCUGACGGAAAACUCAACAAGUGGGGACCUCCCCUGAAAUGAUAGGAAAGAAUUUAACCUCAUGGCAUAAAAACAACUCAUGAAUGGUGUUUGGAUGAAAAGGUUAUGCGGGAGUCAAAUGUUUGAAGGGGCUCAGGUACUUACUAAAAUCCUGGCCAGAAAUCUUCAUAGAAAUGUACUCAUGGUGAAGAGUUCCUUCUCACCUGCAAACCCCCUUCUACUCUGCUCAUUCAAAACUGGUUUGCAACUUGAAGCUGUGAAGGUCUUGCUACUCAAAGUGUGGUCCCUGGACAUGCUCACUGUUAGAAAUGCAGAUUCUCAGGCCCCACCCUAGACCUGAUGAGUUAGAAGCUAACCUCUGCGAACAUGGACAUUUGAGAAGCACUGCUCCAUGUCACUGAGCCCUCCCUGGAGGAAACAUGAUAUUCACCCCACGAAGACCACCUUCCUCAUGAUGCCCUCUGCCCUCCAGAAAAAUAACAUAUACACUGCCCAUGUUAUUUGAGAGAUAUUUCCUGUGUGAGUAUACACUUUUCUGGAACUGAAGACCUGUCUAUUCACACGGCCCUUAUCUGAGCAGACUUUGGGACAAGCAUUGGGGUGCAAUUAGUUUGUAUGGGCAGUGAUCUCAGGGAGCUCCAGGAGAGGGUAGUGAAGUGUGUCAUCAACGGGUGAGAAAGCUGGGGCAUCUAUCCAUCUCACCGGUCUCUCCUUGGUAGAAAACUGUACUGGGGACGUUAACUAUCCUGCACUUCCAGCCCUCCUGACUCGGGUGCAGCACACUCCUGUAGCCAGAGAAAGUUCCUAACCAGAGAAACAGUUCGCCUAUGGCGAACUGUCAUAGGCGGCCUCCAGGGUGGGUGGAGGGGACAUGGAGGGUGUUGACAGCAUCUCUCCCACAUCCUCUCCCUCUGCACAAGCAACUGGGCUGGUGGAGCUGUGGACUGAGAACAGAGGCCAGGGGCAGCUACUGCUGAACUUCCUUUGGCUGAAGAUGAAGGGAUGGGGCCUGAGAGGACCUCUUCCUAGUCUAGCACCUUCAGAGUGUAUCUCCACAGAUCAACCUGUCAGCUCAUGGAGCCCUGUCUCAGGGGGCAGCAGCUUACUAAUCUCUUCCCUCGGGUUGGCACAUCCACUUUGCUACUCCUGGGUACAUCUCAGGACUCUUCUUAAAGAACUGGUAUCCACUUCUAGGAUGAUCCUUCCUCCCUUUCUCUUUGUUGCUUCAACAGGUCAGCUCCAAUCUCCUCUUACCUAGACCAGCACAAAACGGCCUCCUGGUGGAUGCCUUGCACACACCUCUCUCCCCUGAUAUGUUCUGCAAACUGCCAC
ensembl:lncRNA ITGA9-AS1 ITGA9 antisense RNA 1